rnacentral:lncRNA from 1 species
UAAUCCUUCUUUGAUGUACCUGAAAGAAAGUGAGCAAACCAAAAUGAAUGAAANAAGUGAGCAAACCAAACCAUGAAUGAAAGGGCAUUUUGGUCAUUUGAUCAACACUCAACUCAAGACAUUUUUAAUGAAUCCAUUAGUGGCAUCACACUAGGAAAACUUUGCAUCUCCAUCAAAGCCAAAACGCUUCCUUGUCCUUCGUGAACAGUUGUAGUUCCUUUGUAUUUGUAUUUCUGCUCUUGUUUUUCUGUUGCGAAAACAGAAAUCAAAUCUCUUACCUUUAAAUUUGAACCGCUACCUGUGUUUGUCUAUUGCAAAAACAGAAAUCAAAGCUCUUACCCUUUAAAUUUGAACCGCAGGUCCAGUGGUGGGAUUUUCAGGUUGGUUGAAUUAUUGGAGGUGCCAGGCGAGGCGAGGUUGGCCGAUGAUGAUGAUGUUGCGACAGGGGAGAUGGAGAUGAAGGACCGAUUAGUGUGGGAGGAGGAAGUUAAGUAUGUGAGGAGGAGGAGGCGUAUUCAAUUUAGGUAUUAGUCGUACUUAAUCAAAAUGGGGGCGUAUUUUUAGUUAUUUGAUUUUGUUUCUAGUAAAUCUCAUUAACCAUAUUAAAUGCUGCAGUUAACCGUAUUAGAUGCUGCAAUUGUAUGUAUUAUAUUUAUUUAUCCC